rnacentral:rRNA from 1 species
GUCUGGUGGCGAUGGCGAGAAGGUCACACCCGUUCCCAUCCCGAACACGGAAGUUAAGCUUCUCAGCGCCGAUGGUAGUUGGGGGUUUCCCCCUGUGAGAGUAGGACGCCGCCGGGC